rnacentral:lncRNA from 1 species
UACCAUAAAAGAUGUGGGCCGGUGAACAAGUAAUCGACGGGUGAAAAGAAGAUCUCAUUUCUAGACGUCUCAAAAACAUGCUACUACCUACUAGCAUUAGCUUAGACAAAAUUUAUGUUCGAAAUAUAGCUUAUCGCUUGCCACAACGGGGGUCAUGAUUUAAGUCAAUAUUCAUUUAUUCGGUUCAAUUAAAUAUGAAA